CGCGGGUUGGUGUAAUAGUUAACAUAUUUGGCUCAUGACCAAAUGAUUAAGGUGCGAACCCUUAGCCCGCAC